AUUGAACGCUGGCGGCAUGCCUUACACAUGCAAGUCGAACGGCAGCGGGGACUUCGGUCCGCCGGCGAGUGGCGAACGGGUGAGUAAUGUAUCGGAACGUACCAUUGAGUGGGGGAUAACUAUCCGAAAGGAUAGCUAAUACCGCAUAUUCUCUCCGGAGGAAAGCAGGGGACCGCAAGGCCUUGCGCUCAUUGAGCGGCCGAUAUCAGAUUAGCUAGUUGGUGAGGUAAAGGCUCACCAAGGCGACGAUCUGUAGCGGGUCUGAGAGGAUGGUCCGCCACACUGGAACUGAGACACGGUCCAGACUCCUACGGGAGGCAGCAGUGGGGAAUUUUGGACAAUGGGGGCAACCCUGAUCCAGCCAUGCCGCGGGAGUGAAGAAGGCCUUCGGGUUGUAAAGCUCUUUCGGCCGGGAAAAAAUCGCAUGGGUUAAUACCCUGUGUGGAUGAUGGUACCGGAAUAAGAAGCACCGGCUAACUACGUGCCAGCCGCCGCCGUAACAC
rnacentral:rRNA from 1 species